GAUGAACGCUGGCGGCGUGCCUAAUACAUGCAAGUCGAGCGAACGGACGAGAAGCUUGCUUCUCUGAUGUUAGCGGCGGACGGGUGAGUAACACGUGGAUAACCUACCUAUAAGACUGGGAUAACUUCGGGAAACCGGAGCUAAUACCGGAUAAUAUUUUGAACCGCAUGGUUCAAAAGUGAAAGACGGUCUUGCUGUCACUUAUAGAUGGAUCCGCGCUGCAUUAGCUAGUUGGUAAGGUAACGGCUUACCAAGGCAACGAUGCAUAGCCGACCUGAGAGGGUGGGCGGCCACCGUGCAAAUGAGACACCGUGCGGAGACCUGCGGGCGCAAGCACGAGGUGGGAUUGAUAAAGGUCCGAAAGCCUGACAGUGCAAUUAAGAGUGAAUAAUAUAGGUCUUCGGAUCUUAAAACACCGUUACUAGAAAUAAACAGAUGGCUACGUAACACUGCCCACCAUGACCGUAGCUAAUAAGAAAACCACCACUAACCACACC
rnacentral:rRNA from 1 species